AUGGCCUCGAACAAGUCGCUACAUUUUUUAAUAACUCUGCUUUGUAAUCUUCAAUCUCAGAAAUACUUUUUGUGUGUUGUUUUUUUUCUUCUUUUGUUUACUAGAAUAUUAAAGCCAAUUUGCAGAGCAAGAGCAUCGAUAAUUGGUGUAUAUUGCAUUGAAGGUUGGCAAAAUCGAUUACCUGAGGCGAUUCUCCGUGCCUAUCAAAUUGUUCAGUUUUGA